rnacentral:rRNA from 1 species
ACGCUGGCGGCAGGCCUAACACAUGCAAGUCGAGCGGUAGAGAGAAGCUUGCUUCUCUUGAGAGCGGCGGACGGGUGAGUAAUGCCUAGGAAUCUGCCUGGUAGUGGGGGAUAACGUCCGGAAACGGACGCUAAUACCGCAUACGUCCUACGGGAGAAAGCAGGGGACCUUCGGGCCCUUGCGCUAUCAGAUGAGCCUAGGUCGGAUUAGCUAGUUGGUGGGGUAAUGGCUCACCAAGGCGACGAUCCGUAACUGAUCUGAGAGGAUGAUCAGUCACACUGGAACUGAGACACGGUCCAGACUCCUACGGGAGGCAGCAGUGGGGAAUAUUGGACAAUGGGCGAAAGCCUGAUCCAGCCAUGCCGCGUGUGUGAAGAAGGUCUUCGGAUUGUAAAGCACUUUAAGUUGGGAGGAAGGGCAGUUACCUAAUACGUGAUUGUUUUGACGUUACCGACAGAAUAAGCACCGGCUAACUCUGUGCCAGCAGCCGCGGUAAUACAGAGGGUGCAAGCGUUAAUCGGAAUCACUGGGCGUAAAGCGCGCGUAGGUGGUUCGUUAAGUUGGAUGUGAAAUCCCCGGGCUCAACCUGGGAACUGCAUUCAAAACUGACGAGCUAGAGUAUGGUAGAGGGUGGUGGAAUUUCCUGUGUAGCGGUGAAAUGCGUAGAUAUAGGAAGGAACACCAGUGGCGAAGGCGACCACCUGGACUGAUACUGACACUGAGGUGCGAAAGCGUGGGGAGCAAAC